rnacentral:rRNA from 1 species
UACGUAGGUGGCAAGCGUUGUCCGGAAUUACUGGGUGUAAAGCGCGUGUAGGCGGGAGGCCAAGUCUGCUGUGAAAUCGCCCGGCUCAACUGGGCGGGGUCGGUGGAAACUGGUCACCUGGAGGACGGUAGAGGCGAGUGGAAUUCCCGGUGUAGUGGUGAAAUGCGUAGAGAUCGGGAGGAACACCAGUGGCGAAGGCGGCUCGCUGGGCCGGACCUGACGCUGAGACGCGAAGGCGUGGGGAGCGAACGGG